rnacentral:tRNA from 1 species
UCGCCGCGUGCCGCAGGCCGGGGAUCGGCCGGCGCUGGUAGCGGUGGAGAACGUGGUCGAGGGCGGUGAACGCGGCGUCCCAGCCGCCGCCGCGGGCC